CAGUUCAAACGAAAGAGGCAUCCCUGAAAGUCUAGGCGUCUAAACAAAAUUUGUUUUUUUUUUUCUUUGUUUGAAUCGAAAUUUACGAGUGUUUAGAACAAUUUAUCUUAGAAAAACGUAUAGCUAAUAUGCCUGUGCGUUGCUUGUGAACGUGGGUAUAUUUCUGAACCUUAUAAGAGCACCGCUCUUGCUUCCCGAUGCCAUGGCCCGGGAACGUUCUGCAGUUCAAUCGGAGCUUUAGCAGAUAAUCCAUCCUCGCUGGACGAUACCAUGACCAUGUGGACCGACGUACCGAGCGAAUCCCUUAUCAGUGGCAAGAGACUGGGCGAACCCAGCCUAGACAAAGAAGUAAUGCGGAACUGGAGUGAGAUCGUUGCUACUGAGUAGUUCUUUGAUCGCAAGGAAAAGCAAGUACACACGAAAGGUGAAAAGUCUCGCACGGCAGAACGUUUUGGAUUUAUUAUUGGACUACGAAAACAAUUACUUUCGGAAGCUUUCGGUUCCAGUGACUGGUCGAAAUGGGCUACCAUCUCGGCCUCUAACGCAGAUCUCGGCUCAUUGUCAAACUUUUUAUAAGAAGAAGUGCAGCGCAAAAUUUCCGAUGAACAGCUCUUGUUCGAACAGACGGGCAUCUAUAUCGAGAUAGAGCUCAUCGGAAAUGGUGAUAAUCCCACGCACAUAGUGGACAUUCCGGCCUUCAAAAAGAAUCUACAUGUUUACCCACCGUUCAUCACAAAUCCGAAGUCUAAUAGAAAGUCAUUAAAAACAAA